GAGUUUGAUCGUGGCUCAGAACGAACGCUGGCGGCAGGCCUCAAACAUGCAAGUCUAGGGGUGUAGCAAUACACACCGGCGGACGGGUGCGUAACACGUGGGAAUGUACCUACUGGUUCGGAACAACUGCGGGAAACUGCAGCUAAUACCGAAUGAGUCCUUACGGAGAAAGAUUUAUCGCCAGUAGAUCAGCCCGCGUCCGAUUAGCUAGUUGGUGAGGUAAAGGCUCACCAAGGCGACGAUCGGUAGCUGUUCUGAGAGGAAGAUCAGCCACACUGGGACUGAGACACGGCCCAGACUCCUACGGGAGGCAGCAGUUGGGAAUCUUGGACAAUGGGGGAAACCCUGAUCCAGCCAUGCCGCGUGAGUGAUGAAGGCCUUC
rnacentral:rRNA from 1 species